rnacentral:rRNA from 1 species
AUGCAACAAAUGACAGUCAUGAGUCAUCUACAAAGCGACAACAUGGCAAUACCUAUAAGUAGUUUCACACCAUUCUUGACUGCGGGCAUAAAUUUUGAGUAUCAGCAUCAAGCAGCAGGACCAAGUGCAAGGAACAAUUGGCAACAACUUAAUGAUUGGGGACCAUAUUCUGUACCUUUAGACGAAGAGCAUGAAGAUGAUGCUGAAGGUAACAAUGAAGAUGAAGCAAAUCAUAGUGAGACUGAAUCUGGUGGUGAGCAUGAAGAUGACGAUGAAGGUAACAAUGAAGAUGAAGCAAAUCACAGUGAGACUGAAUCUGAUGGUGAGCAUGAAUUUGACUGCAACAGUGAUGAGAAUCGAAGUUAUCCAGAUGAAGCUUACAUAGAGUGCACUAGUGAUCAAAAUGAAACUGAUGCGGAGGAAGAUUUCCUGGAACAAAAUACGUUAUCCCGUGAUCAGUUUUUGGUGGAACACCAGCAUUCAGAGCUGCAAGAGUUGGAGCAAAGUUGGAACUAUUAG